GCAAAUGGUGGCGUAAUAUGAAGGAACAGCAGAAGAAGGAUAUAACCAUAAUAUGAUUGAGCGAAGAAGACGGUUCAACAUAAAUGACAGAAUAAAGGAACUCGCCACCCUCCUUCCCAAAAGCAACGAACCAUACUUCGAGCUGGUUCGUGAUCUGCGCCCACAAACAAGGGACAGAUACUGAAG